CCGGCAAUAGCUCAGUUGGUAGAGCGGGAGACUGUAGUGAGUGUAAAAACUCAACAUUGGCAUCUCUAGGUCGCUAGUUCAAAUCUGGCUUGCCGGA
rnacentral:tRNA from 1 species